UAACCUGCGGAGGGAUCAUUACCGAGUGUAAAAACUCCCAAACCAUUGUGAACUUACCACUGUUGCUUCGGCGGCCUCGCCCCGGGCGCGUUCGCGCGGCCCGGACCCAGGCGUCCGCCGGAGGCUCCAAACUCUUGUCUUUUAGUGUAUUUCUGAGUGGCAUAAGCAAAUAAAUCAAAACUUUCAGCAACGGAUCUCUUGGUUCUGGCAUCGAUGAAGAACGCAGCAAAAUGCGAUAAGUAAUGUGAAUUGCAGAAUUCAGUGAAUCAUCGAAUCUUUGAACGCACAUUGCGCCCGCCAGUAUUCUGGCGGGCAUGCCUGUCUGAGCGUCAUUUCAACCCUCAGGACCCGUUCGCGGGACCUGGCGUUGGGGAUCAGCCUGCCCCUGGCGGCGGCUGGCCCUGAAAUCCAGUGGCGGUUCCCUCGCGAACUCCUCCGUGCAGUAAUUAAACCUCUCGCGGCAGGAUAGCGGUUGAACCACGCCGUUAAACCCCCCACUUCUCAAGGU
rnacentral:rRNA from 1 species